GUGGGGAAUUUUGGACAAUGGGCGCAAGCCUGAUCCAGCAAUGCCGCGUGCAGGAAGAAGGCCUUCGGGUUGUAAACUGCUUUUGUACGGAACGAAAAGGCUCUGGCUAAUACCUGGAGCUCAUGACGGUACCGUAAGAAUAAGCACCGGCUAACUACGUGCCAGCAGCCGCGGUAAUACGUAGGGUGCGAGCGUUAAUCGGAAUUACUGGGCGUAAAGCGUGCGCAGGCGGUUAUAUAAGACAGAUGUGAAAUCCCCGGGCUCAACCUGGGAACUGCAUUUGUGACUGUAUAGCUAGAGUACGGCAGAGGGGGAUGGAAUUCCGCGUGUAGCAGUGAAAUGCGUAGAUAUGCGGAGGAACACCGAUGGCGAAGGCAAUCCCCUGGGCCUGUACUGACGCUCAUGCACGAAAGCGUGGGGAGCAAACAGGAUUAGAUACCCCUGUAGUCC
rnacentral:rRNA from 1 species